GUCUAUGGCCAUACCACCCUGAACGUGCCCGAUCUCAUCUGAUCUUGGAAGCUAAGCAGGAUCAGACCUGGUUAGUACAUGGAUGGGAAAAGUUUUGUCCCCAACUUGGAUAAUUUAGUGAGAUACUCU
rnacentral:rRNA from 1 species